rnacentral:rRNA from 1 species
UACGUAGGCAGCGAGCGUUGUUCGGAGUUACUGGGCGUAAAGGGUGUGUAGGCGGUUUUCUAAGUUUGGUGUGAAAUCUCCCGGCCUCAACCGGGAGGGUGCGCCGAAAACUGGGAGACUAGAGUGCGGGAUGGGAGAGUAGAAUUCCUGGUGUAGCGGUGAAAUGCGUAGAUAUCAGGAGGAAUACCGGUGGUGUAGACGGCUCUCUGGACCGCCACUGACGCUGAGACACGAAAGCGUGGGUAGCAAACAGG